AUUUGAGCACCUGCAGUCACAGUCAGUCUCUUUCUGAUUUCUCCUCCACACAGUUGUGCUGCAAGCAGAGGUCAUCCCACCCAUCAUGAAGCACACAGAUGGGUUGUCUGAUUGGAGCCCAGAUAUACAGUGAUUUGUCUCUGCACAAACAGUGGCAGGACUCAGGAGUGUUGUUAGGAGUUGAUGGCGCUGGUAGUGUGUGAAGUCUGAGCUCUGGCUGUGCGUCAGCGUUUACCCCAGCAGGGUUGUGCUCACAUUGAACGCUGAGGCAGCCAGUCCAGUGAUGGGUAAAAACCCUCUGCUGCAGAGCAGGCAUUCCUCUGAGCUCAGAGGAGGACUGUGGAUCGAGUGGGAAACGGGGAUGAGAGCAGGGGAGAGACAUGCCCGUGACCCCCAAAAUAAAGGUGCCAGAGACCGGAGACCCCCACUGUACCUGGAGCUCUCUACUGAUGUGUGAAGUUCAUGUGACAAUGAAGACCCUUGAGCUUUCAACCAUGAAGAAAUACCAGAAUGGCAAAGCUGCAAGAAAAAAGCCCAAACACCAUUCACCAUUCUGUUGAAGGGGAGGAUGGAGUGGUGAUCUACAAUGUUGACAAACUCAGAUCAGUAAACUUCCUUUGGAUGUGUAGUCCUCUGAUAACACUACACACAAAAAUGCAUUAUAUAAAGGAGAACUGUCUGGCCAGGAAGACCCUGCCUCCUGUGGGAAUUUCUAUGUAAUGACGGCUUGAAUUGGGAGGGCAUGGUGCCGUCUUUUUAAUGAGGCCAGACGUCCGCUCUGGUUGCUCAGCAGGCCAAAUGUACUGUUGCAAUGGCUGUGUGCACUUCUAAUAUUGUAGCAUUAAAAAUGGCAGCAUAAA